GCAACAAAUUAUCAGAUUUACGUCACUUUACUUGAUAUAUAAAUACAUUGAAUCCCGAAUAGUUACUAUCAGUUAUUCGCCAUCGUUUAAGGAGCGAUCAACAUUUAGCAACUAACAUGAAGAAUAUUGUUGUAAUUUCGGCUUUCGUGAUGAUGAUGGUCCUCGUCGCUCAUCUUGGCACCGUGGAAGCGGGAGGGUUUAGUUUGGGCUGCACCAUAUCCUGUGGAAUAUGGAACGCUUGCCGUGGAAAGUCCGCUUUUUCUGGAAGUCUUACGCAGUGUGGUCCAGAACCUUCAGGCUGCCGCUGUACUUCUUUUUAUUGGGAGUAAUGCAAAACCAGUAUUUUUGAAGUUGUUAUUUAUUCCUAAGUUUAGUAAUAUUUAUUUUAAUAAAAAUGUUGUGAUUUAA